rnacentral:rRNA from 1 species
GACGAACCGUGCGAACGUUAUUCGGAAUCACUGGGCUUAAAGGGCGCGUAGGCGGGCUCGCCAGUCAGGGGUGAAAGCCCACGGCCCAACCGUGGAAGUGCCUUGGAUACUGCGAGCCUCGAGGGGGAUAGGGGCGUGCGGAACUCAGGGUGGAGCGGUGAAAUGCGUAGAUAUCCUGAGGAACACCGGUGGCGAAAGCGGCGCGCUGGAUCCCUUCUGACGCUGAGGCGCGAAAGCCAGGGGAGCAAACGGGAUUAGAAACCCCCGUAGUCC